GAAACAUUAGCACGCCAGGCGAAAUGCUUAAUGGUAUUUCGUCUGUCUUUACCUUCUGAGUUCAAAUUCUGCUGAUGUCAACUUUGCUUUUCAUCCUUUCAGGGUUGAUAAAUUAAGUACCAGUUGUGUACAGGGGUUGAUCCAAUCGACUGCCUCCCCCC